GUGGGGAAUAUUGGACAAUGGGCGAAAGCCUGAUCCAGCCAUGCCGCGUGUGUGAAGAAGGUCUUCGGAUUGUAAAGCACUUUAAGUUGGGAGGAAGGGCAGUAAGUUAAUACCUUGCUGUUUUGACGUUACCGACAGAAUAAGCACCGGCUAACUUCGUGCCAGCAGCCGCGGUAAUACGAAGGGUGCAAGCGUUAAUCGGAAUUACUGGGCGUAAAGCGCGCGUAGGUGGUUUUGUAAGUUGGAGGUGAAAUCCCCUGGCUCAACCUGGGAACUGCCUCCAAAACUGCAUGACUAGAGUACGGUAGAGGGUAGUGGAAUUUCCUGUGUAGCGGUGAAAUGCGUAGAUAUAGGAAGGAACACCAGUGGCGAAGGCGACCACCUGGACUGAUACUGACACUGAGGUGCGAAAGCGUGGGGAGCAAACAGGAUUAGAUACCCCGGUAGUCC
rnacentral:rRNA from 1 species